GGGAGCAAUGGAAAGCGCACGGGAUUCCUACAGAGCAUCCUCCUUGGCCCAAGACUCUCCAAGACCUUACAUUCUGGAUUCUGUACUUUUGUCGCGCACUUUUAUUUUUAUCCCUUGUUUUUUCUUUCAUCCUUCCUUGUUUUUCUUGCCCCUCGGCUCACACGUGCUUUUUGACAUGUUUCUUUGAUUCUUCGUUGACGUUUCCUUGCGGCCUUUUGGUGGUAGUCUGUCGCUUCGGGAUUUCUUUGUUUUGGCGGGUAGCCUUAUUUGGUCUUUUAGCCUUGAUGCCCUUAGGCUUUUACUUUGGCGGGAGACCUUAUUUGGUCCUUCGACCUUGAUGCCCUUAGGCUUUUUUGUUUUGGCGGGAGGCCUUAUUUG
rnacentral:lncRNA from 1 species